rnacentral:misc_RNA from 1 species
ACAGAUGAGGGAGACUAUAAUAUUAAGCUUAGGAAUCUGAUAAGCUUCUUAGAUGAAGGUGAUAAGGUUAAAGUGACAUUGCGUUUUCGUGGGCGUGAAAUGGCGCAUCAAGAGUUUGGGAUGCGUUUACUUGAGCGUGUGAAAGAUGAUUUAGAGUCCUUUGCAAUAGUGGAGCAAUUUCCUAAAAUGGAAGGGCGUCAGAUGGUUAUGGUAUUAUCUCCUAAGAAAAAAGAAGCCAAAGCAGAUAAAUCAAAAGUAGUGACGGAAGAUUCUCUGACAUCAAUGUAAGUAGUAUAUUAUUUUGUAACUAA